rnacentral:rRNA from 1 species
UGGGGAAUAUUGCACAAUGGGGGAAACCCUGAUGCAGCGACGCCGCGUGAACGAAGAAGGUAUUCGUAUCGUAAAGUUCUGUCCUAUGGGAAGAUAAUGACAGUACCAUAGAAGAAAGCUCCGGCUAAAUACGUGCCAGCAGCCGCGGUAAUACGUAUGGAGCGAGCGUUGUCCGGAAUUAUUGGGCGUAAAGGGUACGCAGGCGGUUUAAUAAGUCGAAUGUUAAAGAUCGGGGCUCAACCCCGCAAAGCAUUGGAAACUGAUACACUUGAGUAGUGGAGAGGAAAGUGGAAUUCCUAGUGUAGUGGUGAAAUACGUAGAUAUUAGGAGGAAUACCAGUAGCGAAGGCGACUUUCUGGACACAAACUGACGCUGAGGUACGAAAGCGUGGGGAGCAAACAGG